CAGCAGCCGCGGUAAUGCGAAGGGGGCUAGCGUUGUUCGGAAUUACUGGGCGUAAAGGGCGCGUAGGCGGCCAUUCAAGUUAGAUGUGAAAGCCCUGGGCUCAACCUAGGAAUUGCAUUUGAUACUGUUUGGCUUGAGUUCGGGAGAGGUGAGUGGGAUUCCCAGUGUAGAGGUGAAAUUCGUAGAUAUUGGGAAGAACACCAGUGGCGAAGGCGACUCUCUGGUCUGUAACUGACGCUGAGGAGCGAAAGCGUGGGGAGCGAACAGGAUUAGAUACCCCCGUAGUCCCUGUCUCUUAUAC
rnacentral:rRNA from 1 species